CCUACGGGAGGCAGCAGUGGGGAAUUUUGGACAAUGGGCGCAAGCCUGAUCCAGCAAUGCCGUGUGAGUGAAGAAGGCCUUCGGGUUGUAAAGCUCUUUUGUCAGGGAAGAAACGGUGAAGGCUAAUACCCUUUGCUAAUGACGGUACCUGAAGAAUAAGCACCGGCUAACUACGUG
rnacentral:rRNA from 1 species